rnacentral:rRNA from 1 species
AUACGGAGGAUGCAAGCGUUAUCCGGAUUUAUUGGGUUUAAAGGGUGCGUAGGCGGUUUGCUAAGCGGGAGGUGAAAUGCCGGCGCUCAACGUCGGAAGUGCCUCCCGAACUGGUGGACUUGAAUGACUCUGCCGUGGGAGGAAUGUGUAGUGUAGCGGUGAAAUGCUUAGAGAUUACACAGAACACCGAUUGCGAAGGCAUCUCACGAAGGGUUGAUUGACGCUGAGGCACGAAAGCGUGGGGAUCAAACAGGAUUAGAUACCCUGGUAGUCCACGCAGUAAACGAUGAUGGCUAACCGCUGGGCUUAUCGGUUCAGUGGCCAAGCGAAAGCGAUAAGCCAUCCACCUGGGGAGUACGACCGCAAGGUUGAAACUUAAAGGAAUUGACGGGG